GGAAGGAUCAUUACCACACCUCAACUGCCUUGCUUCUCCUGACUUCGGUUGGGAGAAGUUUGGUUUGACCCGUGAACUUUUAUCUUUGGUGAUUGGCUUGUCCAAUUGCCGCAACCAUUUUAUCCACUUUUCGAAGUGCGAUGAUUUACCAACAUCCUGAUCGUGAACUCAUUGUACUCGGAAGUCUUGCUGUAUACCAGCAGGAUGAAAGAGAAUAUGAAGUAACGUACAAACACUUUCAGCAACGGAUGUCUUGGCUCCCACAACGAUGAAGAACGCAGCGAAAUGCGAUACGUAAUGCGAAUUGCAAAUCUCAGUGAGUCAUCAAAAUUUUGAACGCAACUUGCACUUCCGAGAAGUCGGAAGUAUGUCUGUUGGAGUGUCUGUUCAUCCCCACACCCAACCAUACUGUAACAAGUAUGGUUUGGUUGAGGCAGCCGUUGACUUCACCCGUUAACGAGCGCAGAUGUAACACCAAUCCGAACUCGCCCCCGCUCUGCUGAGUGAGGAAGGCGCGACGUGAUGAUGAUGAUGAUGAUGACAUUUGUUUGUCACAGCAGCCAGCACACACGCGCUCUACUCUUCGGCAUCCAAGGAGCCCCGGUGAGAAUCCGUUCGGACCUCCAAUCAGUCAAGAUUACCCGCUGAAUUUAAGCAUAUAACUAAGCGGAGGAAAAGAAACUAACAAGGAUUCCCUCAGUAACGGCGAGUGAAGCGGGACCAGCUCAGACUGAAAAUCUUCGGAAUUGUAGUCUGGAGAAGUCAAGUCAGCUCUAUCUUCCGGGCAAAGCCUGUAGGAAAACGGCACCAUGGAGGGUGAUAGUCCCGUCUAUGCCUGGAAAGAUGAGUGUACGACUGGCUUUCAACGAGUCGAGUUGCCUGGGAUUGCAGCUCUAAGUGGGUGGUAAAUUCCAUCUAAAGCUAAAUAUUGGUGGGAGACCGAUAGCGAACAAGUACCGUGAGGGAAAGAUGAAAAGAACUUUGAAAAGAGAGUUAAAGAGUACCUGAAAUUGCUGAAAUGGAACCGAUGGGAGGCAGUGUUGGCGUGCGGCCAUUCUUCGUUCCCCGCAUGCGGGGUGCGCGUGAUGCCGUGCGCAAGUCAGGCUUCCUUCGACGAGUGGGAGAGGUCCCAAACCUGUUAUGGGUUGGGGGUGCCGUCACUUGUUGGAGGGACUUUGACGAAAUGCCUCUUAUCAACCCGUCUUGAAACACGGACCAAGGAGUCUAACAUGUGUGCGAGUGCUCGGGGUGUAUCCCCCAGCGCGGAAUUAAUGUGAAGGCCUUCGGGCUGAGGUAGGAUGCUUCGGCUGCACUAUCGACCGACCAUGAUCCUUCGGGUGAAAGGUUUGAGUGUGAGCAUACAUGUUGGGACCCGAAAGAUGGUGAACUAUGCCUGAGUAGGGCGAAGCCAGGGGAAACUCUGGUGGAGGUCCGCAGCGAUUCUAACGUGCAAAUUGAUCGUCGAACUUGGGUAUAGGGGCGAAAGACUAAUCGAACCAUCUAGUAGCUGGUUCCUCC
rnacentral:misc_RNA from 1 species